GUUAAAGUUUUUGGUCAAGGUAGUUUUUGAUGAAGUUGAAGUCCAAUCAACUUGAAACUUAGUAUACAUGUGCCCUAUGAUAUGAUCUUUCUAAUUUAAAUGCCAAAUUAGAGAGUUUUGACCCCAAUUUUACGGUUCACUGAACAUAGAAAAUGAUAGUGCAAAUUUCAGGUUAAAGUUUUUGGCUUCAGGUUAAAGUUUUUGGUCAAGGUAGUUUUUGAUGAAGUUGAAAUCCAAUCAACUUGAAACUUAGUAUACAUGUGCCCUAUGAUAUGAUCUUUCUAAUUUAAAUGCCAAAUUAGAGUUUUGACCCCAAUUUUACGGUUUACUGAACAUAGAAAAUGAUAGUGCAAAUUUCAGGUUAAAGUUUUUGGUCAAGGUAGUUUUGAUGAAGUUGAAGUCCAAUCAACUUGAAACUUAGUAUACAUGUGCCCUAUGAUAUGAUCUUUCUAAUUUGAAUGCCAAAUUAGAGUUUUGACCCCAAUUUUACGGUUCACUGAACAUAGAAAAUGAUAGUGCAAAUUUCAGGUUAAAGUUUUUGGCUUCAGGUUAAAGUUUUUGGUCAAGGUAGUUUUUGAUGAAGUUGAAGUCC
rnacentral:lncRNA from 1 species